rnacentral:rRNA from 1 species
UACGUAGGGCGCAAGCGUUGUCCGGAAUUAUUGGGCGUAAAGAGCUCGUAGGCGGUUUGUCGCGUCUGCUGUGAAAACCUAAGGCUCAACCUUGGGCUUGCAGUGGGUUACGGGCAGACUAGAGUGCGGUAGGGUGACUGGAAUUCCUGGUGUAGCGGUGGAAUGCGCAGAUAUCAGGAGGAACACCGAUGGCGAAGGCAGGUCACUGGGCCGCAACUGACGCUGAG